ACCUGGGUAGCUCAGUCGGUUGAGCGUCCGACUUCGGCUCAGGUCAUGGUCUCGUGGUUCGUGGGUUCGAGCCCCACGUCAGUUC
rnacentral:tRNA from 1 species